GGGGGUGGAAGGGAACUGGUCCAUCAUCUGCUUGGUCAGCUAGCUUUCUGAAUAAAGCCGCUAUUCCUUGCCCCAACAAGUCAUCUCUAGAUUUAUUGUCCUGUUAUGUGGUGAGCAGUACGAGCUUGGACUGGGUAACAAAUUUUGGAAAGCCAGCCAACUGCCUUGCUGCUCCUGGCCAGUGAGGCCUGGUUGGGGAAUUUUUCGGUAAGGCCUUUGCAGCUGCUGGGACCACUUGUCCUGAGGUUUUCCGUUCAAGGUUUCCCAAAGCGGCACCGGCUGCCCCAGUGCUUGACCAUUGGAGCAAAGAAUUGAGAUCUAGGAGUCGACGGGCUCCAUACAGUAGGAUGCCUGAUUGCUUUUGCCCCGCCUGGGGAACAUCUCUGUUUUGCUCAGUGUCCUGCAGUGUUUGAUAGAGCUGGAUUUACAGAUGGUGCUUCAGCAGCUGAUCCCCCAUCUAAUGCAUGCAGGUAUGAAACUUAAAGUGCCAGGGAAUUUUGUCUCCCAUAUGAUUCAGAAGGGGAUCAUUACACCAUCUCUCAAGCACAAGACUUGCCAUUCAGAGGUCACCAUCCUGUUAGAAGGAAAAAUCAAUAGUGGAAAAUAGAAGCAUCCCCUGCUUAGUGACUCACACUGUGCUGGGUGAUCAGAGUUGAUGUGGACAUUUUCCUUUGCAUGGUGUAGCCAAUGGUGCCUCUUGGCAUCUGUGCCACACCUGUGACUAUGUAUGCUUCGGUGGAAGGAAGAAGUCGGAAUAGGAACAGUAACAUGAGCUACUCCCAGAUGCCAUGGACGAGGAUACUAAAUAGGAUGUCCUCGGCGAUAUUUGUCCCCUUUCAAAGAAAAUUAAACAAUCCCGUGUCUCUCCCCACCUCCCAGAGAACUUGUGUUUCAAAAGGUCAGAGUGUCUGGGUCAGAAAUUAGCUGCCUCCCACUCUGUUCAGCAUCUACACACAGUAAAAUUUUUCAUGUGUUACCACGAAUUUUCCAAAGGAGUUAUUUCUUCCUCUACUUUCCAUCUACUCCUCCUGAAACGGCUACUAGUACUAUCCUAGAACUGACUAACAUAUGCUUCCCUUUUUCAUAUUAGAUUUGUGUUAGCAUAUAAAAAAAAAUGAGUUGAUAUAGCUUUUGGGAAGUCUAGUUGGCAGCAGAGUUGGACAGCAGAUGGCCACUUGGAAACUAGACCGAGAAAGGUGAUUUACUCUGCAUGUAUAUGCUGAUAAGGGAGUCCUGUUUUGAGGCUACCCUGAAAGUCCUUGACCUAAUGCAAAGCCCCAGAGACAGCUCAGAGUAGGAAAAAUGAUCAUAACCGAUUACCUGCCUAAGGCAAAAUAUACCACUUAUAACCAGCUAUAGAUAUGCCAACAAUGUACAGUAAACAAAUAUAUUGACAGCCUAUAGUAGCUUUUAUCUUCUGCAAAAAAAAGAGCAGGCUUACAAUAAGCUUUUCUUGGAUGUUUCCUAAAAUUCUUUCCAAGUACUUUAAAGCGGUCUUUAAAAAUAGGUAACUUUUAGUUCCAUACUUUGUUUCUGCAGAAAAAGCUACUGGCAGGCUCGUUUAAAAAUAAUUCUAAACAAUUUUUUUCUUUAAAAAAACAAGGUUUAUUCUUUUUAUCUUUUUACCUUUAUAGGUAAAUUAACAGCUGAGAACAGUAUCUAAUUAAUACUAUCUAUAGUGGGCAACUUUUAGCUAAGAAGUUCUAUUUUGGUUCUUAAGAAAUGUUAACCAUAAAUGUAUAAUAACUGCUUUACUACAAAAUUUGUAAGUCAUAUUUCCAACACUUCUCUUGCCUCGAUGAAAAUUAUUGAAGGUCUUCCUCUAUCAUCAAAGCCCAAGGAUAUUUAUGUCAUGGUAUACGGGUAAGUAGAUUUGAAUUUUUGUUUAUCAUCAUUUACUAAGUUACACAAAAGAUUCCAGUUCAAGUUAAUAGACAAAACGUAAGCUAGAUUUAAAGUGCUGUAUU